rnacentral:rRNA from 1 species
GGAUAACAUUUGGAAACAGAUGCUAAUACCGCAUAAGAUUACAGUACCGCAUGAUACAGUGAUCAAAGGAGCAAUCCGCUGAAAGAUGGGCUCGCGUCCGAUUAGAUAGUUGGUGAGGUAACGGCUUACCAAGUCGACGAUCGGUAGCCGGACUGAGAGGUUGAACGGCCACAUUGGGACUGAGACACGGCCCAGACUCCUACGGGAGGCAGCAGUGGGGAAUAUUGCACAAUGGGCGAAAGCCUGAUGCAGCAACGCCGCGUGAGGGAAGACGGUUUUCGGAUUGUAAACCUCUGUUUUCGGUGACGAACAAAUGACGGUAACCGAGUAGGAAGCCACGGCUAACUACGUGCCAGCAGCCGCGGUAAUACGUAGGUGGCAAGCGUUAUCCGGAAUUACUGGGUGUAAAGGGAGCGCAGGCGGGAUAGCAAGUCAGCUGUGAAAACUAUGGGCUCAACCCAUAAACUGCAGUUGAAACUGUUAUUCUUGAGUGGAGUAGAGGCAAGCGGAAUUCCGAGUGUAGCGGUGAAAUGCGUAGAUAUUCGGAGGAACACCAGUGGCGAAGGCGGCUUGCUGGGCUCUAACUGACGCUGAGGCUCGAAAGUGUGGGGAGCAAACAGGAUUAGAUACCCUGGUAGUCCACACUGUAAACGAUGAUUGCUAGGUGUGGGGGGUCUGACCCCCUCCGUGCCGGAG